rnacentral:rRNA from 1 species
CGUCGUCUCGCGGCGCUGGUGGUGUCCGAGAAGAAGAGCAGGAAGCUGCCCUUCACCCCCAGCAAGGACCCCGUCCGGCGCCUCACACAGAUGGCCUUGCUCGCCACGGCGCUCACGGCCACCAGCGCCGUCUUCAGCAACGACCUCACCUACGUGCCCGGCAUGGCGCCUCGGUCCGCCAACCAAUCCGCCCUCGUGGCAGGAGGGAUGCAGGUGCUGCCAAGGGAGGAUGCAGAGACAUUGAGCCUAUGCAAGAGGAUGAUGGAGCAAGGGCCUCUCCUCGUCGUCUUCAAUCCGGUGGAAGGAUUCAUGGUCGAGGCAGACAGGCACAUCAAGGAUCUGACCAUCAUCACCGAGUACGUCGGCGAGGUUGACUACCUUCGAAACUGUGAGCACGACGACGGCGACAGCAUGAUGACUCUGCUCUCCGCCGAGCCGCCAUCCAAGAGCCUCGUCAUCUGCCUCGACAAGCGGAGCAACAUUGCACGGUUCAUCAACGGGAUAAACAACCACACGCCGGAAGGCAGGAAGAAGCAGAACCUCAAGUGCGUGCGGUUCGCAAUCGACGGUGAAUCCAUUCUCCUGGUGGCCAACAGGGACAUCUCCAAGGGGGAGAGGUUGUACUACGACUACAACAGUGACGAGCACAAGUACCCAACUUACCAUUUUGUAUGA